CACAUUAGAGUUAGUUCCCAACCACCAUAUUAAAACCACAGACGAAGAAGAAGAACUAUUCAUUUUCCGGGUCACUUUAUUAAUGGUACCUGAUUCUCAAAACAGCAAGAAUCCCGAGGCAGUGUUUAAAAUUUUAACUAAACAUCACAAGAGCAAUACCAUGUCAGACACGGAGACAAAACCCUCAAGUGGAGAUGGAAGUGAGAAGAAGGAUGGAGAGUACAUUAAACUGAAGGUGAUUGGUCAGGACAACAGCGAAAUUCACUUCAAAGUGAAGAUGACAACACAUCUAAAGAAGCUAAAGGAAUCGUACAGUCAAAGACAGGGUGUACCAAUGAACACCCUAAGGUUUCUUUUUGAAGGACAGAGAAUCUCAGACAACCAAACCCCCAAAGAGCUUGGAAUGGAAGAUGAGGAUGUCAUUGAAGUGUAUCAGGAACAGACCGGUGGACUUUGGCAUGAUUAGACUUGCUAUAUUUUUUUCUCAUUUUGAAUUUUGUAUGUAUUUUGCUUUUGUGCUUCGCACCAUCUGGAUCACACACUCUAUUGGAGCUUCCAUGUGUGAGGGCACAAAGAACGGCUGUGUUAGAAUGGAUAGACGAUCUGUUCUUUCUCCUUUUAAACACCUCGCACAAUCAUUUUUUCUCCCUCCUUUACAAUUCAGGUAACAUUGUAGUGCAGACAGUGUCAUAGCUGAAUGUCCCCUAUUGAGAUGACAUGCAUACAAUGACUGGUUUUCUCUACACUCUGCUACACAUGCUUCUUUCGCACCUAAAGUUGGAAUAUACCGCCUCUGAAUGCUAAAGCAUUGUUUUGAAUCUGUUUAAAAGUCCCAGUUUCCUACCACUGAUGGAUAUGGUCUAAUGAUAUAUAAAAAUGUUUUUAUGAUCGUGAUGUAUAUUUUGCAUCCAGUAUUUGUGUUUAAUAAUUAUUAACGUCUGUCCGUAGUCAGGGUUCCCCAACUGGCAGGCCAAAAACAAUAUUUUUAAUUGUUGGACAUAAGACUGUAAAAACACCAGCGAACCUGCUACAAGUGAUUUUAAUUUUGGAUAUCUGUUUCAAAGAGAGAGAUGUGAUCAUAUACACAUGUAAGCAAGGCUUGAAAUUAUGUUUUAGUCAGAUAUAUCUGUUUGGGUUUCUUGGUCAAUGUGCAGUCUCCAAAUUAUUCGUAAUUAUGUUCUGACCACCCGUUCAAGAAAAAAAUCAGCCCGUGGCUGAAUCUAGUUGAUGAUGCCUUUCUUUUUAUUUCUAUUUGAGUUAUGUUCAUGUUCAGAUAAUUAAGGGGUUAAAGUUUCUGUUUAUUCUCUGGCCUCUUCUUGGAUUUAAAUGUUUUUUUCUUGUUUGUCUGUCUUUUUUUUAAUCAAGAUAAUCUUGCUGUGUUGAAUCACAACAGUAGCGACACAUAGUAAUGUCAAUGCAACACAUGACUCCUUAUGGAGGCAUUGAUCCGGAUGGUUUGAAGCAGAUCAUUUUUCUUUUUUUGAAUAAAAUGUUUAACAAAAACAGG